GUCCACGCCCUAACGAUGGGCACUAGGUGUGGGAGGUAUCGACCCCUCCCGUGCCGCAGCUAACGCAUUAAGUGCCCCGCCUGGGGAGUACGGUCGCAAGAUUAAACUCAAAGGAAUUGACGGGGCCCGCACAAGCGGUGGAGCAUGUGGUUUAAUUCGACGCAACGCGAAGAACCUUACCUGGGCUUGACAUCCCUGGAACCCCUGUGAAAGCAGGGGGUGCCUAGAAAUAGGAGCCAGGAGACAGGUGCUGCAUGGCUGUCGU
rnacentral:rRNA from 1 species